AUACGGAGGGUGCAAGCGUUGUCCGGAUUUAUUGGGUUUAAAGGUGCGUAGGUGGCGUGUUAAGUCAGUGGUGAAAGCCUGCAGCUCAACUGUAGAGGUGCCAUUGAUACUGACAUGCUUGAGUAUGGACGAGGUAGGCGGAAUUUGUGGUGUAGCGGUGAAAUGCAUAGAUACCACAAAGAACACCGAUAGCGAAGGCAGCUUACUGGACCAUAACUGACACUGAGGCACGAAAGUGUGGGUAGCGAACAGGAUUAGAAACCCUAGUAGUCC
rnacentral:rRNA from 1 species